rnacentral:rRNA from 1 species
CUACGGGGUGCUGCAGUAAGGAAUAUUGGGCAAUGGACGCAAGUCUGACCCAGCCAUGCCGCGUGCAGGAUGACAGCCCUACGGGUUGUAAACUGCUUUUAUAUGGGAAAAAUUCUUCCGACGUGUCGGAAGUCGAUGGUACCAUAUGAAUAAGCACCGGCUAACUCCGUGCCAGCAGCCGCGGUAAUACGGAGGGUGCAAGCGUUAUCCGGAUUUAGUGGGUUUAAAGGGUGCGCAGGCGGAAUGAUAAGUCAGUGGUGAAAUCCUACGGCUCAACUGUAGAACUGCCAUUGAUACUGUUGUUCUUGAGUACAGUUGUAGUGGGCGGAAUAUGUCAUGUAGCGGUGAAAUGCAUAGAUAUGACAUAGAACACCGAUCGCGAAGGCAGCUCACUAAGCUGAAACUGACGCUGAGGCACGAAAGCGUGGGGAGCAAACAGGAUUAGAUACCCUUGUAGUC